rnacentral:rRNA from 1 species
UGAGCAAUCUGCCCUUCUCAUCGGAAUAAGCGUUGGAAACGACGUCUAAUGCCGAAUACGACCUCCUUUCGCAUGAUCGGAGGUGGAAAACUCCGGCGGAGAAGGAUGAGCUCGCGGCCUAUCAGCUAGUUGGUGUGGGUAAUGGCCCACCAAGGCGACGACGGGUAGCCGGCCUGAGAGGGUGACCGGCCACACUGGGACUGAGACACGGCCCAGACCUCCCGUACGGGGA